rnacentral:rRNA from 1 species
CAGCAGUAGCCGCGGUAAAACGGAGGAUCCAAGCGUUAUCCGGAGUCAUUGGGUUUAAAGGGUCCGUAGGCGGUUUAGUAAGUCAGUGGUGAAAGCCCAUCGCUCAACGGUGGAACGGCCAUUGAUACUGCUGAACUUGAAUUAUUAGGAAGUAACUAGAAUAUGUAGUGUAGCGGUGAAAUGCUUAGAGAUUACAUGGAAUACCAAUUGCGAAGGCAGGUUACUACUAAUUGAUUGACGCUGAUGGACGAAAGCGUGGGGAGCGAACAGGAUUAGAUACCCGUGUAGUCCCUGUCUCUUAUAC